rnacentral:rRNA from 1 species
AUUGAACGCUGGCGGCAGGCCUAACACAUGCAAGUCGAGCGGGGUUUUCGGACCUAGCGGCGGACGGGUGAGUAAUGCGUAGGAAGCUACCCGAUAGAGGGGAUACCAGUUGGAACGACUGUUAAUACCGCAUAAUGUCUACGGACCAAAGUGUGGGACCUUCGGGCCACAUGCUAUCGGAUGCGCCUACGUGGGAUUAGCUAGUUGGUGAGGUAAUGGCUCACCAAGGCGACGAUCUCUAGCUGGUACUGAGACACGGACCAGACUCCUACGGGAGGCAGCAGUAAGGAAUAUUGCACAAUGGGCGCAAGCCUGAUGCAGCGACGCCGCGU